AGCUCCAAUAGCGUAUAUUAAAGUUGCUGCAGUUAAAAAGCUCGUAGUUGCAUUUCCGAGGCAAGGGAUUAGUCCGACCUUUGGUGGGUAUUUAAUCCUCUUGCCUCGUCCUUGAGUGGUGCUUCUUGGUAUUAAGUUAUCGAGGAGAUAGCCGCUCAUCGUUUACUGUGAGAAAAUUAGAGUGUUCAAAGCAGGCUUAUGCCGUUGAAUAUAUUAGCAUGGAAUAAUAAGAUAGGACCUCGGUACUAUUUUGUUGGUUUGAGAACCAAGGUAAUGAUGAAUAGGGACAGUUGGGGGUAUUCGUAUUCAGUUGUCAGAGGUGAAAUUCUUGGAUUUAUGAAAGACUAACUACUGCGAAAGCAUUUGCCAAGGAUGUUUUCA
rnacentral:rRNA from 1 species